GGAGGGAUGGCUGAGCGGCUGAAAGCACCGGUCUUGAAAACCGGCAAGGGUUAAUAGCCCUUCCAGGGUUCAAAUCCCUGUCCCUCCG
rnacentral:tRNA from 2 species